rnacentral:rRNA from 1 species
GCAAGAAUUUCGGCAAUGGGCGCAAGCCUGCACCGAGCAACGCCGCGUGCGGGAUGACGGCCUUCGGGUUGUAAACUCGCUUUUGCGGGGGGACGACUACGACGGUAACCCCCGGAAGAGGCC